rnacentral:rRNA from 1 species
GACGAACGCUGGCGGCGUGCUUAACACAUGCAAGUCGAACGGAAAGGCCCUGCUUUUGUGGGCUGCUCGGGUGGCGAACGGGUGAGUAACACGUAAGUAACCUGCCCUUGACUUUGGGAUAACUUCAGGAAACUGGGGCUAAUACCGGAUAGGAGCUCCUGCUGCAUGGUGGGCGUUGGAUAGUUUCGGCGGUUGGGGAUGGACUCGCGGCUUAUCAGCUUGUUGGUUGGGUAGUGGCUGACCAAGGCUUUGACGGGUCGCCGGCCUGGGAGGGGGGCCGGCCACAUGGGGACUGAGAUACGGCCCAGACGCCAAUGGGAGGCAGCAGUGGGGAGUAUGGCACAAUGGGAGGAAGCCUGAUGCGACAACGCCGCGUGCGGGAAGACGGCCUGCGGGUAGUGAACCGCAGUCGGCUGAGACGAAGCGGGAGUGACGGUAAUGGGUGAAGAAGCACCGGCUAACUACGUG